AGUAAGGUCAGCUAAACAAGCUUUUGGGCCCAUACCCCAAAAAUGUAGGUUAAAAUCCCACCCCUACUA
rnacentral:tRNA from 1 species